CCUACGGGAGGCAGCAGUGAGGAAUAUUGGACAAUGGGCGCGAGCCUGAAGCAGCGAAGUCGCGUGAGGGAAGACGGUCCUAUGGACUGUAAACCCCUUUUGUAGGGGAGCAAAUGACGCCACGUGUGGCGUUCCGAGAGUAUCCGUAGAAAACGCAUCGGGUAACUCUGGGCAAGCAGCCGCGGUAAUCCGGAGGAUGCGAGGGUUAUCCGGAUGUAUUGGGUUAAAGGGGGGCGCAGGCGGAAGACCAAGUCCGCGGGAAACUUGGGGGGCUCAACCUCUGCGAGCCGUUGAAACUGGUUGGCUUGAGUGAGCGAGAAGUAUGCGGAAUGCGUGGUGUAGCGGUGAAAUGCGUAGAUAUCACGCAGAACUCCGGUGGCGAAGGCAGCAUACCGGCCCCCAACUGACGCUGAGGCACGAAAGCGUGGGUAUCGAACAGGAUUAGAUACCCCAGUAGUC
rnacentral:rRNA from 1 species